UCUUGGUCAUUUAGAGGAAGUAAAAGUCGUAACAAGGUCUCCGUUGGUGAACCAGCGGAGGGAUCAUUACCGAGUUUACAACUCCCAAACCCAAUGUGAACCAUACCAAACUGUUGCCUCGGCGGGGUCACGCCCCGGGUGCGUCGCAGCCCCGGAACCAGGCGCCCGCCGGAGGGACCAACCAAACUCUUUCUGUAGUCCCCUCGCGGACGUUAUUUCUUACAGCUCUGAGCAAAAAUUCAAAAUGAAUCAAAACUUUCAACAACGGAUCUCUUGGUUCUGGCAUCGAUGAAGAACGCAGCGAAAUGCGAUAAGUAAUGUGAAUUGCAGAAUUCAGUGAAUCAUCGAAUCUUUGAACGCACAUUGCGCCCGCCAGUAUUCUGGCGGGCAUGCCUGUCCGAGCGUCAUUUCAACCCUCGAACCCCUCCGGGGGGUCGGCGUUGGGGAUCGGGAACCCCUAAGACGGGAUCCCGGCCCCGAAAUACAGUGGCGGUCUCGCCGCAGCCUCUCAUGCGCAGUAGUUUGCACAACUCGCACCGGGAGCGCGGCGCGUCCACGUCCGUAAAACACCCAACUUCUGAAAUGUUGACCUCGGAUCAGGUAGGAAUACCCGCUGAACUUAAGCAUAUCAAUAAGCGGAGGA
rnacentral:rRNA from 1 species